CCCGCGAAACGGCAACCGUGUUCUGGAUUCGUCCACUCGUGUCGCUACCUGCCGGCCACGCACUGUCUCCACCGACCGCCACGUGUCAGCUGAGGCCACCGGAUCCCCGCCCGUGUCCGCCGUCCCCACGGUCGCCGGUCGAUAUAAACCCCCACGGAGCGCUGCAGCCCCCAGGGAGUCUCCGAAGCUCCCCUCGAACUUUGCCCGGUCGAUCGAACCGAUUCCCCACCCAAUCCCUCGAUAAAGGAAAUUUGUUGAUACUGUUGCUAUCUCAUGGUGUCUGGUAGUGGAGAGAAGAUGGAGGUUGAACCAGAACUUGUGAUGUGCUGGAAGGACCUUCCGAUGGAGCUGCUGCUGCGUAUUCUUUCCCUUGUCGACGACCGAAUGGUGAUCGUGUCUUCAACCGUUUGUACUGGCUGGAGAGACGCAAUCGGCUUUGGGCUUACAAGUCUCUCUUUAUCGUGGUGCAAAAACAACAUGAACAACCUUGUGCGGUCACUUGCUCCCAAGUUCACGAAGCUUCAAGUUUUAACUCUUCGACAAAAUAAUGCACCUCAACUUGAGGACAGUGCUGUUGAGGCAGUUGCUAAUUACUGCCAUGACCUGAGGGAACUAGACCUUAGCAAAAGCCUUAGGCUGACUGACCAGUCUUUGUAUGCUCUAGGCCAUGGAUGUCCCUGCCUAAAUAAACUGAAUAUCAGUGGAUGCUCUGCUUUUACCGACUCUGCCCUUGCAUAUCUUGCUAGUUGCUGUCGAAACCUGAAAACCUUGAAUCUCUGUGGAUGUGCGAGAGCUGCUACUGACAGAGCUUUACAAGCUGUAUCACGUCAUUGCAGUGAGCUUCAGUCUUUGAAUCUAGGUUGGUGUGAGAGUGUCAGUGACAAAGGAGUCACCAGUUUGGCAGCUGGUUGCCCAAAUCUCAGGGCAUUGGACUUGUGUGGCUGUGUCCUCAUAACAGAUGAGAGUGUGAUUGCCAUAGCAAAUUGCUGCCCUCAUCUCAGAUCACUGGACUUGUAUUAUUGUCAGAACAUCACAGACAGGGCAAUGUACUCGCUUGCGAAUAGCCAGUACGGGUUGUGGCGAGACGAUGCUGGCAGCAGUAACAGCAAUGACAACGCUGGGCUGGUGAACCUUAACAUCAGCCAGUGCACAGCACUGACGGCUGCCGCCGUCCAAGCCGUGUGCGACACAUUCCCAUUGCUGCACACCUGCCCAGGGAGGCAUUCACUCAUCAUCAGCGGUUGCCUCAGCCUCACUUCUGUGCGCUGUGCUUGUGCCAUCCAUGCUCACCGUGCAGGCAGAGCUCUAGCAGACCACGCCUACUGAGGACCAUGUCUUAGCAAGAUACUCUGAAAGGAGUGGUGUGUAGUUGAAGGUAUAACAAGAAACUUUGUGCUCUACAAUGAGCAGAACUCCAGAGCAAACAAGUUUCUGACGGUCAUCAAGUUUCUUGUCGGGUAAACAUUAAACCAGUCAUACACUAGUAUACAGUAAGGAGGACAUGGAAAUAGCUGCUGAAGUUGGGAAUAUUGUGGAUUAAAAGAAAUAUCAGUACUAUACAUGAACCAACCAGCAAAAUUAUCAAGAGGCAAUUUUGGCAACCACUAGUGCGAGGAAGGAGCGGAGUCUGUGCAGAAGACAAGCGGUCAGCAGCAGCUGCUUGUGGAAGCAUCUGCUUGGGGAGGCUUUUGCUUGAAGAUAUUCUUUUUAAGGCCGGAUGAACCCUCAGCACAGAGGCUUGGUGUUUCCAGGAUCUGUAAGAUGAAUUUAAGAUCAUUAGUCUGGUAUUCCAUGGAUUUCCAGUAGUAUCCUAUUGAUUGGAAAAGUACAUGCAAGUCCCAGCUUCAAAAUAGUCGGUGAUGCCAAGAUAACAAUCUGGAUGGCAAGUGAUUGUACAACCCCGAUCAAACAGGUAAGCCAAAAUCAUCGCACCAUGGCCAGCAGGGAGCAUGAGGGAAAAAAAUGCAACUGCAAAACUCUAAUAUGGCUUGAACAUGUCAAAUAGUUACCACUUGGCCAUGUGAUCAAGACAAUUUAUAAAGAUGUUCACAUAUUUUCUGGCAGGAGGGCCUUUAAACAAUGGAUUAGGAAUAAUAAAAGACUUGACCGGUUGUGAUA